UGUGUAACAUUUCAGUAGCCUCUUCCUGUGUGAUGUCGAGUCCAGUAUCAUGCAAACCCUUGACGAACUCCUCCAAACAGAGGGCUUUGCUGCCAUCAUCGUCCAUACGGCGGAAGCAGCGCCCCAGACCAAGAAUUCCCGAAGCACCACGGGCAAGACACAUGUGGCGUAGUUUCUCAAUGGGAUCCAUCAGCGUACCAGAAGACAGUGUCCGGCGGCUAUGGUUGAUCAUUUCAGAUUCUUGACGCGACAUUGCACUGACGGGGCGAUGUGCCAUCUGGAACAGAGCGUAAGAGGAUAUGUACAGAUUAAUCAAUCAUUGAUGUAUUGAAUCAUUCUCAAUCCAAUAAUUUAACACAGUGACUUGUUGCCGGCUGAAAUUUGUUAGUGUUUUAGUCGGAUGGAGUGAUAAGGAUGCAUACUUAUAUUUUCUUUUGGCAUUGGACACCAUACAAGUAAUCAUUUGCUUUUCUCUAUGACAGCAAACAAACUGCAACAAGAGCAGCAAUUUUUAUAAGGGAUAACAUUAGGUAUGUACCGACCACAGAAUUUAUCAACCGUGAGAUCGUGGCAAUACAAUUGGAGGUUCGAACGAACCAAGGGAAAACCAUCAUCGUCGCUUCGGCUUAUUUCCCAGGAGACAACGUUGAAGUUCCUCCAUUUGAAGUUGCUGCGCUGAUACAACACUGUAAAUUAAAUAACAAACAAUUCAUCAUAGGAUGUCACGCCAGUGCCCACCAUACGGUCUGAGGUAGUAGUGACAUUAAUGUUAGAGGUUCCCCACCAAGGCGGUAAGCGAUGACGCCGAAUAUAUCUCCCACAUCAAGUUCUUGAAGGAUGUCAUGCUAUGGUUGACGAUCAGUCAGAUGAAAAUGUCCAAGCCGCUGUUCUUCUUUUGGGACUUGCGGCGAACAGGGGAGACAUACAAUGCGAAGUGCCUGCCGAAUGUUGCCGCUGUCAUCAAGAAGUUUGGGAAUGUGGUUUUUGGCUGGACCAUUAUGCCAACAGUUCACUGCUAGAGAUGGACCGGCUGAAGAUAAACGUUGUACUGGAGACCUUCAACACUUCUAACGUCCCCCGACAGAAACAUUUUGGGCGAACUGCAAACAGAGGAUCUACUCCAAUAGUUUUGUGAAAAAAAGCGGAGAAGCAGCCGAUCGCCAAGGGCACGAAAGAGCUAAAGAACUUGCUGAUAUUCAUCUUUUCAACGGCCAUGGCUAUGGUUCCGGCCAACUGUCGAAAGGGCAUCGAAGUAUUUUUGUUGAAGGCAUAAUAAACGUAAUAUAGGAAUAUUUAUUCCAUCGAAA